GACGAACGCUGGCGGCGUGCUUAACACAUGCAAGUCGAACGGAAAGGCCCUGCUUUUGUGGGGUGCUCGAGUGGCGAACGGGUGAGUAACACGUGAGUAACCUGCCCUUGACUUUGGGAUAACUUCAGGAAACUGGGGCUAAUACCGGAUAGGAGCUCCUGCUGCAUGGUGGGGGUUGGAAAGUUUCGGCGGUUGGGGAUGGACUCGCGGCUUAUCAGCUUGUUGGUGGGGUAGUGGCUUACCAAGGCUUUGACGGGUAGCCGGCCUGAGAGGGUGACCGGCCACAUUGGGACUGAGAUACGGCCCAGACUCGUACGGGAGGCAGCGGUGGGGAAUAUUGCACAAUGGGCGGAAGCCUGAUGCAGCAACGCCGCGUGCGGGAUAACGGCCUUCGGGUUGUAAACCGCUUUCGCCUGUGACGAAGCGUGAGUGACGGUAAUGGGUAAAGAAGCACCGGCUAACUACGUG
rnacentral:rRNA from 1 species